rnacentral:rRNA from 1 species
GACGAACGCUGGCGGCGUGCUUAACACAUGCCAGUCGAACGGAAAGGCCCUGUUCUUGUGGGGUUCUCGAGUGGCGAACGGGUGAGACACACGUGUAUACCCCGCCCUUGAUUUUGGGAUCUUUUCAGGAAACUGGGGCUAACCCCGGAUAGGAGCUCCCGCCGUGUGGGGGGGGUUGGAGAUUUGCCGCGGUUGGGGGUGGACUCGCGGCUUCUCAGUUUGUUGGUGGGGGAGUGGCUUACCAAGGCUUUGACGGUCCGCGGGCCUGAGGGGGUGACCGGCCACGUUGGGACUGGAGUACGCCCCCAACUCCUACGGGAGGCAGCGGUGGGGAAUUUGGCACAAUGGGCGGAAGCCUGAGGCAGCAACGCCGGGUGCGGAAUGCCGGCCUUCGGGUUGUAAACGGCUUUCGCCUGUGACGAGGCGUGUGUGACGGUAGUGGGUAAAGAAGCACCGGCUAACUACGUG